CGGCACACGCGCAUUGCUAAAAGUGUCAAAUUGGCAAAAGUGCUUUGCUUUUGCUGUGCGAGAAACAAACAAAACACAGAGAAAUGAAAAUGAAAUAUUCUAAAACAAACUUUGAGGCCUACUGGAAGAAGUGCUGCUGCUGUUGGUAAGAGAGGGGCAUGCGGAGUGAGUGUGUGGAGUCUAUAAGAAAUUGAUAUCAUUUAUCAAACUGACACAUACAGAGAAAAGAGCGUGGGGCAGGCAGGCUGCCAGGCUGCCAGGCAUCACCGUCCCAUUCCAGCAGCUGGAGAUGGAACUCGAACUGGAACUGGAACUCGAACUGGCGCUCAAGCGAAUCUUUUCUUUGGAAACUUUUGCAAAUGAGGCAGCAGUCAGCAAACGGCACAUAAAUAAACAUGGAACAGCAGCAGCAGUGGCAGUGGAUUUCGGGGUUGGGGUUGGGGUUGGUAGGCGUGGCAUACGCCUAAUUGAAUUCAGCUUUCAAGAGUAAGCGAGAAAGGCAUAAAUAAUCAUGAGAUCGUCGUCGGUCCGUUUGUCGGCGUUGUUCUGCCACAAAAUUAGUUCAUUAAAGAAGUUCAGGCAUGAUUUGCAUAUCACCCCGGCCUCCCCCCAUGAUUAAAUAAAAAAUAUAUAAAGAAGUGUGCCCGAAGAAGACCUCAAAAAUGAAAAAAGAAACGAAGGAAAUGUAAAUUAAAGUAAACAAUCCAAAGAGCUAUUCAAAUUGUUUUUUCCACCCUCGAAAAAAGAAAAAAAAUUCCAAUUGCCAAAAACUUCAAAAGUCAGCAACAUGCAACAUGAAUAUCAAAAUCGACGGCGAAGAGCCAUAAAAAAUAUAUAUAUAUAAAUGUAUAGGAAGAGGCACGAGAGCGUAUAAAAAAGAGUGUUUGAGUUUGUAUUUUCAUGGAAAACGAGUGCAUCAGCAGCAGCAGCAGCAGCAACAGAAGCGGCAGAAGGGGCACCAACAAAUCAAUGCCCCACCAACAAUAACCCAGAACGGAACCCCCAGCGCAGGAACAGCGAAACAUUGGGGCAACACCAGCGCAUGGAGGAGCUGUGCGUGUCAGGGCCAGAGAGAGAGAGAGAGAGAGAAAGAAUGAGCGGAAAAGGCGCACAAAAAAUGCUCGUACAAAUAAUUCUGGGAAGCCCUUAGCGAUCAGCGGCCCCGUCCCGGGCACUUGUAAUAAAAAAUAUUUUCAAUAAUAAAGUGUAUUAAGUUGUGAAGUGCACAGACACACACCCACACACACACACACACACGCAGAUACAGAUACUCGUACACACUCACAAGUGAAAAUAAAUGAAAUGUGAACCAUGGA
rnacentral:lncRNA from 1 species